GACCAGUUGGCUCAGUUGGUUAGAGUGUGGUGCUGAUAACACCAAGGUUUAGGGUUGGAUCCCCGUACUGGCCA